UUGUCCAUCCUUAUCCCUGCUGGCCAUUCUGCCAGGUUUUGCUUGUGGACCAGAGCAUCCUCGAAGUCUCACCCAAAGAAGUGAGCACAGCUUAAGUGGGCUCAUGCCACGGACUCUUCUAGACACAC